GACCCGUUGGCAGAGAGGCUAUGCGAUGGUCUGCAAAACCAUUUAGGAGGGUUCGACUCCCUCACGGGUCU
rfam:Microgenomates (Woesebacteria) bacterium GW2011_GWA1_39_12 TT23_C0021, whole genome shotgun sequence.